AUUGAACGCUGGCGGCAGGCUUAACACAUGCAAGUCGAACGGUAACAGGAAGAAGCUUGCUUCUUUGCUGACGAGUGGCGGAUGGGUGAGUCAUGUCUGGGAAACUGCCUGAUGGAGGGGGAUAACUACUGGAAACGGUAGCUAAUACCGCAUAACGUCGCAUGACUAAAGAGGGGGACCUUCGGGCCUCUUGCCAUCGGAUGUGCCCAGCUGGGAUUAGCUAGUAGGUGGGGUUACGGCUCACCUAGGCGACGAGCCGUAGCUGGUGGGAGAGGGUGACCGGCCACACGAGAACGGGAACAGGGACCAGACGCCUGCGGGAGGCAGCAGUGGGGAAUGGUGCGCAGUAGGGGCAAGCCUGAUGCAGCGAUGCCGCGUGUAUGAAAAAAACCUUGGGGGUGUAAAGUACGUUCAGCGGGGGGGAAGGGAGUAAGGUUGAGACGAAGGCUCAUUGACGUUACCCGCAGAAGAAGCACCGGCUAACUCCGUG
rnacentral:rRNA from 1 species